UUUUAGAUCUAAUGAGGUAACACAAGAAAUUUCAGAUAGCACAAGAAUUUUCAGGCUGCUUGGAUCUGACAGGGUCGUGGUUUUGGAAAGUAGGCCAACUGAUAACCCCACAGCAAAUAGCAAUUUGUACAUCCUGGCGGGUCAUGAAAACAGUUACUGAGAAUUGUUGUGCUUUGACAGUUAACUCUAGAAAGAAAGAACACUACCACUGCAACAUUAAUGGAUGCUUGAAGCUGUACAAAAGCUGCAGUAACCUGUCUUCAGUUACUUUGUAAUUUAUUGUGGCAUGAGAUAAGAUGGGGAAAAUUUUGUUUUAAGUGGUAUGGAUAUAUUUAGCAUAUUGAACCACACAAGUGCUUAAUUCAUUGUUAUGUAAUCUUUGUACAUAUAGGCAGUAUUUUUUCUGUGAAACUUCAUAUUGCUGAAGACAUACACUAAGAAUUUAUGUAGAUAAUGUACUUUUAUGAGAUGUACAAGUAAGUGUCUUAUCUGUACAGAUGUAAAUGUUGAUGAAAAUGCAAUUGGGGUUAAUAUUUUAAGAAUUCUUUAGUAUAUUCUUGGGUGUGGCUAUAUUACAAAAUGGGAUGCUGGCAAUGAAACAAUACAUUUAACACUAUUGUAUUUUUAUUAUAUGUAAUUUAGUAAUAUGAAUAUAAAUCUUGUAACUUUUAAAAUUGUAAUGGAGGCUGUAAUCAUUUUAUAAUCUUUUUAAUUUUAAUGCAAGUACACUGGUGUUUAUAUUUGCACAAAGUAUUGAUAUGUGAUGUAUUAAGUCACAAAAGUAAGCUGUGACAUUGUCUAUAAGCAUUUGGCUCCACAAAUGUAUUUGGAUUGUUUUCUAUGUGAAGCAAACCAAUUAUAAUUAACCACAUGUUGUAGUAACUGGUCUUUUUAUAUUUAAGCAGAAUCCUGUAAGAUUGCUUGUCUUUGCUUAAAAACAAUACCUUUGAACAUUUUUGAAUCACAGAAUAGCGGUACCAUGAUAGAAUACUGCAAUUGUGGUCAGAAUUACAGUAUGCACAAAGAAUUAAUUAGCAUUAUUAAAGAGUCCUCACUAAACAUUUCAUAUGAUCACACUGAAGAACUGUAACAUUCCAUAGAGUGAAGUGGUUCAAAUUUCUCUUGGAAUUUUUACUUUUGUUGGCCUUAUUUUAUGAUCCUUUUCAUAUUUCUUUUGACUUAGAGUAUUAAUACAUGGCCAAAAUAAUUUAGUUACUACCUCAUACAAACAAUAUAAUGGUUACUACACAUCACAGGAACUUAGUUUUGGUUUAAGUCAUUUUUGAUUGCUUUUUUCCAAUGGAAUAUGUAUAUACCAGGUUUUAGCAAAAUGCACACUUUUGGCUCUUUUUGGUAUAUGUUCUUUAUAUUUUAAUGUGAGUAUAUACACUAAGAACAAACUAAAUUGUGAUUUAUGAUCUUCAUUUAUUUUAAUGAUAAUGGUUUUAAAAUAUGUUCCUGAUUGUACAUAUUGUAAAAUAAACAUGUUUUUUA
rnacentral:lncRNA from 1 species